AUACUUACCUGGUCUCCGGGCUACCGUGAUCACAACGCGGAUUAGCCCGGAUGAAGCCUUCCCAAUGCAUUCGGCUUGGCUGAUCUCUGCGAAUAUCCCAAAUGCGAUUAUUUCGAGCGCGUAAUUUUCCCUAGUCGGGACUGCGUACGCGGAUCCCGA